rnacentral:rRNA from 1 species
UAGAGUUUGAUCCUGGCUCAGAGCGAACGCUGGCGGCAGGCUUAACACAUGCAAGUCGAGCGCCCCGCAAGGGGAGCGGCAGACGGGAGAGUAACACGUGGGAACGUACCCUUCAGUUCGGAACAACCCAGGGAAACUUGGGCUAAUACCGAAUACGUCCGUAAGGAGAAAGAUUUAUCGCUGAAGGAUCGGCCCGCGUCUGAUUAGCUAGUUGGUGAGGUAAUGGCUCACCAAGGCGACGAUCAGUAGCUGGUCUGAGAGGAUGAUCAGCCUCAUUGGGACUGAGACACGGCCCAAACUCCUACGGGAGGCAGCAGUGGGGAAUAUUGGACAAUGGGCGCAAGCCUGAUCCAGCCAUGCCGCGUGAGUGAUGAAGGCCUUAGGGUUGUAAAGCUCUUUUAACGGGGAAGAUAAUGACGGUACCCGUAGAAUAAGCCCCGGCUAACUUCGUGCCAGCAGCCCCGGUCAA